AGAGUUUGAUCAUGGCUCAGAUUGAACGCUGGCGGCAGGCCUAACACAUGCAAGUCGAGCGGUAACAGAAAGUAGCUUGCUACUUUGCUGACGAGCGGCGGACGGGUGAGUAAUGCUUGGGAACAUGCCUUGAGGUGGGGGACAACAGUUGGAAACGACUGCUAAUACCGCAUAAUGUCUACGGACCAAAGGGGGCUUCGGCUCUCGCCUUUAGAUUGGCCCAAGUGGGAUUAGCUAGUUGGUGAGGUAAUGGCUCACCAAGGCGACGAUCCCUAGCUGGUUUGAGAGGAUGAUCAGCCACACUGGGACUGAGACACGGCCCAGACUCCUACGGGAGGCAGCAGUGGGGAAUAUUGCACAAUGGGCGCAAGCCUGAUGCAGCCAUGCCGCGUGUGUGAAGAAGGCCUUCGGGUUGUAAAGCACUUUCAGUCAGGAGGAAAGGUUAGUAGUUAAUACCUGCUAGCUGUGACGUUACUGACAGAAGAAGCACCGGCUAACUCCGUGCCAGCAGCCGCGGUAAU
rnacentral:rRNA from 1 species